rnacentral:lncRNA from 1 species
GACAUCCUUGUCUCCUCAGCAGCCUAACCGAGCACCUGUCUGAGGGCACAAAUGAAGGAGGAGAGGCGCCUGCAGGAGUGGGGAUGGGCCGGGCAAGUGGAUGCCCGGGAGCAGCUUCAGCCUGGGAAUCACCAAGACCCGGAUUUCAAAUCCUAGCUGUGUUUCCUCCAGAAUGAAAUGCGGGGGACACAACCUACUUCUCUGAAGGAGCGCGACCAGAGAAAACGUGUGGAAGGAACCCUUAGGCGCCUCCUCUUCCCCUACCAGAGGCGGGUUCAGAGGCAGCGCAUCCAAAACAAAACCAAGUCCCAGGGCCCAGCCAAGGGCUGGGCAGGAGAUGCUGCCCCCUGGUGGAGGUGUCUGUGGGCGCCUGAUUCCUGAAGGAACGUGGAGCCGGGAGGGUGUCAAGGUGUGCAGGUCGCUUGGCCUCCUGGAGGCUUCCUUUCUGACAGUUUGAAGGUGGGAGUGGAAAAUCUACACUCUUUCGGGUUUGUUGGCUCCUUUGGUGUGUGUGGAGGUGAGCUCACAUUUAGAUGAGCGUAACGCCCCACCCCACCCCCGCUUGUAAGCAGCCUUCACUGACCCAGCUCCCCCUCAUUUCUUUUGGCGGUGCCCCCAGGACAUACAAGUUCUCAGGCCAGGAGUGGGACCCAUGCCUCAGCUGUGACCCCAGCCACAGCAGUGACAAUGCCAUAUUUAACCUGCGGCAUCCCAAGGGAACUUUGCCUUAAUUAUUUGGGGGCUCUUUAACCACCCCUCUAGAUAACCCCUCGGACUUAUGGCUCCCUUCUACUAACAGAGGCUUAAUUGUUUCCCAGAAACUUGGAGUUGGCUGCUGUCCAGGUCAAGAUGGCGAAGACUGGUUGGGACCACCAGCCCUAACACUGGGCCUGUGAGGUUCCCAUCGUGGCUCAGCAGUAACAAACCCGACCGGUUUGCAUGAGGACUUGGGUUCAAUCCCGGGCCUCGCCCAGUGGGUUAAGGAUCUGGCGUUGCUGUGGCUGUGGUGUUGGCCAGCAGCUGAGGCUCCAAUUCCACCCCUAGCCUGGGAACUUCCAUGUGCCACAGGUUCAGCCCUAAAAAGACCCAACAACCAACCAACCAACCAACCAACCAAACAAAACCUGGGUUUAUGCAGGUGUCUUAGGAACAACAUUUAGACAUCAGACAGAAGAAAACUCCACUCUCAGAUCAUGCUUAGCAGCUCCAUUUUGGGGGGAGGCCACACCUGUCUGACAUUCGGAACUUCCCAGGCAAGGGAUCGAAUCUGAGUCACUGCAGUGACAACACUGGAUACCCAAGCUGCUGUGCCACGGGAGAACUCCCACAGCCCCAUUUUUGAACAGAACAUCCCAUGAGGAAGCAUGGAACUCAGAUACCUCGCCUUUUCCCUACCUCAGUUUUCCCCACACCUAAGACCACCUGCUUCUUCAUCCCAUAACUAUCUCAAGGCCCUCACCUUCCGGGGGGAUGCAGGCAAGGCUAAGGCGGGAGUAGGCUGCAGGUGGAGGAGGUUAUGAAGAGGGGGUUGCAGCCAUGGUGCAGCGUCUUAGGAGACAGACCCCCACAGGGACAGACGUCCAGCCUCCACCUGCAUAGGUGCCUGGCACUUUGGGAGACCUUGGCUGCAGGAGGGGACUGGGGGUGACCAGAAAGAAACAGCAAGUGGAGCCCCAGGAGGGUGGUAAUGGCUGGGAGCGAGAGCCACGAGGGGGGAGAACUGAUCACCCUAGAGAGAGGCAGGGAGGUGAGGCCUGGGGGAGACCAGGCCCACCAGCUGAAGGGAAGGUGCCAGCUGCCCAGGUAUCCAAGCUGCCGGGCUCCAGGGAGUUUCGCAGCAGGGCCGAUCUCCAGCGACCGUCUAUGUUUGACUCAGUUUAUUUUAGUUGACUUUAUUUUAUUUUUACUUUUAUGCCUCCCCCACCCCGCGCCGCAUGUGGAUGUGCCUAGGCUAGGGAUCAAAUCGGAGCUGUAGCCGCCGAUCUACAGCACAGCCAGGGCAACGCCAGAUCACAGCUGCUUCUGCAGCCUACACAGUGGCUCAUGGCAACGCCAGAUCCUGAACCCACUGAGUGAAGCCAGGGAUCCAACCCUCAUCCUCAUGGAGACUAGUUGGGUUCUUACCCUGCCGAGCCACAAGAGGAAAUCCCAAAACCACUUUUUCUUCUCUACGAACUAGGAAAUGAUUCAGUGCCUGGUCUUCACCCACGUUCCCCCCUAUGGAAUAGUUAGCCUUUUAGUAUAAGUUUGAGGUGCUCUUUGUAUGUUAGAAAGGUGAGUACAUCUUCUGGGGUUUGGGUUGCUCUUACUUUCCUUGUUUUAUCCUGCAUCACCUGGAACCGAUGUGACACUCCUGGGCAGGAGUGGACCAGCAGCUGUUCCUGCCCUCAGGGCACACUCAGCCCAGGAUGGGGACGAAGACACCUGCCCAAGAGGCCAGAACACCAGGCAGGACAAGGAGGGAGUCGGCGAGAAAUGGACAGAUGGUUGGGUGUCUGGCCCGUAGCCACCGCCUUCUCAGGGAAGCCAAAGGAGUGAGCAGAAGAUGGUCUGACGCUCACAGAUCUGAACAGAGGUCCAGGGAUGGGAGGCUGAAGAGUCUGGUCGGGAGCAGGCUGAGCCUAGGAUAUAUUGUCUCAGUUCACCCUCUUCUGUCCAUUCAGUCAACGAAUACAGGCGCGGAGGAGACAGCAGCAAAUACAACCCCUGCCAUCGAGGGGAAGAGCAGUCCAGCACUAAUUUCGGUGUAUCUGUGAUGACAGCUAUACAUCUGUGUGUCUGUGUGCCCACCUCAAUGUCUAUACACAUGCCACGUGACACUCAUGGGUGUCAAUAGCAACGUAGCAGGUGGCAGAAACAUAAAUAGGUAAAGCGGGAUGUGAAACAGGAAUGCUCAGGGUGGGUAAGUGGAGACAGUGCACAGCACUGAAGUGGAAUUCUCUCUCUCUUACAGACAAGAAGUGACUUUCCCUAGAGGGCCCUUAUUCAGACAGCCCCAUGCGCCUGCCCUUCCAUGUGUAGCUUCACAGGCAGCCUAAUCAGACAGGCAUUGUCAUUCUCCCUAUUUUAUUUUAUUUUUUACUUUAGGAGGGCACCCUCAGCAUAGGGAGGUUCCCAGGCCAGGGGUCAACUCAGAGCCAUAGCUGCCAGCCUACACCACAGCCACAGCAACCAUGGAUCUGAGCAGCAUCUCCCACCUACAACCACAGCUCACCGAAACGCUGGAUCCUCAACCCAGUGAGCCAAGGCAGGCCAAGGACGGAACCCAAGUCCUCGUGGAUACUAGUCAGGUUCA